UACGGAGGGUGCAAGCGUUAAUGGGACUUACUGGGCGUACAGCGCGCGUAGGUGGUUGGUUAAGGUGGCUGUGAAAGCCCCGGGCUCAACCUGGGAACUGCAUCCAAAACUGGCCGGCUAGAGUACAGUAGAGGGUGGUGGAAUUACCUGUGUAGCGGUGAAAUGCGUAGAUAUAGGAAGGAACACCAGUGGCGAAGGCGACCACCUGGACUGAUACUGACACUGAGGUGCGAAAGCGUGGGGAGCAAACAGG
rnacentral:misc_RNA from 1 species